GAUGAACGCUGGCGGCGUGCCUAAUACAUGCAAGUCGAGCGAACAGACGAUGAGCUUGCUCCUCUGACGUUAGCGGCUGACGGGUGAGUAACACGUGGAUAACCUACCUAUAAGACUGGGAUAACUUCGGGAAACCGGAGCUAAUACCGGAUAAUAUAUUGAACCGCAGGGUUCAAUAGUGAAAGACGGUUUUGCUGUCACUUAUAGAUGGAUCCGCGCCGCAUUAGCUAGUUGGUAAGGUAACGGCUUACCAAGGCAACGAUGCGUAGCCGACCUGAGAGGGUGAUCGGCCACACUGGAACUGAGACACGGUCCAGACUCCUACGGGAGGCAGCAGUAGGGAAUCUUCCGCAAUGGGCGAAAGCUUGACGGAGCAACGCCGCGUGAGUGAUGAAGGUCUUCGGAUCGUAAAACUCUGUUAUUAGGGAAGAACAAAUGUGUAAGUAACUAUGCACGUCUUGACGGUACCUAAUCAGAAAGCCACGGCUAACUACGUG
rnacentral:rRNA from 1 species